ACAUUUUCUUUCAGUCUGUCAUCUUGUUGAUGGAAAGCCAGCUCAAUCAGAUCAGGCAUCCUCUCUCUAGCCUGGGCACAGCUCAGCUGGCUGUCCUCCAGCUGGGAGGGGAGGGAAUUGCUGCUUGGUGGGGGGAGCUCUUGUCCAUUCCCCACUUCUGCCAUUGCAUGCACCUUGCCUGCCUUCCUGAAGCAGUGAAAGCAGCCUCUGCGGCAAUCCCAGCCUGAGCCUGAGGAACACAGGCCACCUUUGCCACUACCUCCUUCCUCUGCCAUCAUGCUGGACAUCUUUAUCCUGAUGUUUUUUGCUAUCAUCGGCCUGGUGAUUCUCUCCUACAUCAUCUACAUGCUCUAGGAGCUGCCAGGAACAAUGGAGCUCUGCUGCCGGCCUGCCUGCCAGUCAGAGCAUCCUCCAGGGGUUUUGUCUCCUAUGGGGAGAAGGAAAAAGGCAGUUGUUAUAGAAGAAAUGAGGGAUUCCAUCUGCAUGAUUCAAAUGGAGAUGAAAUGGGCACCUUGCCACAUCCAGCUCUCAUCGGUUUAGCAGCCAGUCACACGUUUCCUGUGUUCUGCCCAGUGGAUGGAAAGCCGAUGCCUUGUGGCAUCUGUGUGUGUUUACACCCAUGCCAUUUUCUCAUCCGUAAUGUGUUGGGGGUUUCUGCCUCAGGCCCAGCUCAGACGAGACUUUCCUUAUCUUCAGCUACAGCAGCAGCAGCACAGAUCUAGUCCAGAGCCUUCUGGAAACAGAGUUAACCCUUUGCAAGCAAAUGUCUUUCCAGGCUGGAGAGAGGGAAAACCCAAGAAGAACAGCAACUGAUCACUGCAGCUGUCAAGGAACAUAGAUGUCCUUGACAUGAUGGCCGAGCUGUCAUAAGCCAUCAGAGGAGCAAAUGAAAAGCAACACGAUGGAUGGAGAAAGUGCGCUGGAAUGAAGUCUUGCUACAGGGAAGUGUGGUGUUUUGUCUGAGGCUGGCAUUCAGCACGUGUAACUCGCCCUGCUCCCUGGCCAUGUAGAAACACCUUCCCAGGAAAAGGAGCUGCAGUUUAAGUCCUAGGAAAUAUGUUUAUUGAAUUAAAAGUGUCCAGGAGAAAAUAAAUAAAGUUGAAAAAGCAAC